GACGAACGCUGGCGGCGUGCCUAAUACAUGCAAGUAGAACGCUGAAGGAGGAGCUUGCUUCUCUGGAUGAGUUGCGAACGGGUGAGUAACGCGUAGGUAACCUGCCUGGUAGUGGGGGAUAACUAUUGGAAACGAUAGCUAAUACCGCAUAAUAGCAGUUGUUGCAUGAUAACUGUUUGAAAGGUGCAAUUGCACCGCUACCAGAUGGACCUGCGUUGUAUUAGCUAGUUGGUGGGGUAACGGCUCACCAAGGCGACGAUACAUAGCCGACCGGAGAGGGUGGUCGGCCACACUGGGAAUGAGACACGGCCCAGACUCCUACGGGAGGCAGCAGUAGGGAAUCUUCGGCAAUGGACGGAAGUCUGACCGAGCAACGCCGCGGGAGUGAAGAAGGGUUUCGAAUCGUAAAGCUCUGUUGUAAGAGAAGAACGAGUGUGAGAGUGGAAAGUUCACACUGUGACGGUAUCUUACCAGAAAGGGACGGCUAACUACGUG
rnacentral:rRNA from 1 species